GUAGGUGGCAAGCGUUGUCCGGAAUUAUUGGGCGUAAAGCGCGCGCAGGGCGGUCCUUUAAGUCUGAUGUGAAAGCCCACGGCUCAACCGUGGAGGGUCAUUGGAAACUGGGGGACUUGAGUACAGAAGAGGAAAGCGGAAUACCAAGUGUAGCGGUGAAAUGCGUAGAGAUUUGGAGGAACACCAGUGGCGAAGGCGGCUUUCUGGUCUGUAACUGACGCUGAGGCGCGAAAGCGUGGGGAGCAAACAGGAUUAGAUACCCUGGUAGUCCACGCCGUAAACGAUGAGUGCUAAGUGUUAGGGGGUUUCCGCCCCUUAGUGCUGCAGCUAACGCAUUAAGCACUCCGCCUGGGGAGUACGGCCGCAAGGCUG
rnacentral:rRNA from 1 species